rnacentral:rRNA from 1 species
GGAUGCGAUCAUACCAGCACUAAAGCACCGGAUCCCAUCAGAACUCCGAAGUUAAGCGUGCUUGGGCGAGAGUAGUACUAGGAUGGGUGACCUCCUGGGAAGUCCUCGUGUUCCAUUCC